ACUAUUUCCAGGAAUCAAACGUAUUCCACUGGAGUCAGAGUUGGAGCUGGAGUUGUGUUUAUUAGAAUCAGAGUUGUCAAAAGAGAUGAAGAUACAUAUCUUUUGCUAUCAGAAACACUGAAUUAUGAUAUUGAAUUUUCUCCUCUUUAUUAAUUAUUCAUCUUGCUGGUGAAAGGAACUAAAUCACCUCUUUUUUAUAGCAAAUUUAUCACUAGACAAAGUGUCUAGCAGUCUUUUAUUAAAAAUAAAAAGAUAUAAAUAAGGAUAAGUUAAUAGUAAGAUGGACUAGGCAUACGUAUCUUACCAAUCCUAAUA
rnacentral:lncRNA from 1 species